rnacentral:rRNA from 1 species
GUGGGGAAUAUUGGACAAUGGGCGCAAGCCUGAUCCAGCCAUGCCGCGUGAGUGAUGAAGGCCUUAGGGUUGUAAAGCUCUUUUGUCCGGGAAGAUAAUGACUGUACCGGAAGAAUAAGCCCCGGCUAACUUCGUGCCAGCAGCCGCGGUAAUACGAAGGGGGCUAGCGUUGUUCGGAAUCACUGGGCGUAAAGCGCACGUAGGCGGACCAUUAAGUCAGGGGUGAAAGCCUGGAGCUCAACUCCAGAACUGCCUUUGAUACUGAUGGUCUCGAGUAUGGAAGAGGUUGGUGGAACGGCGAGUGUAGAGGUGAAAUUCGUAGAUAUUCGCAAGAACACCGGUGGCGAAGGCGGCCAACUGGUCCAUUACUGACGCUGAGGUGCGAAAGCGUGGGGAGCAAACAGGAUUAGAAACCCUGGUAGUCC